GAUUUCUGGUUCGGCGCACUUGGCCCGUCUCGGUUUACGGGAUUGCGUGCCGGUGUGCGCCAUCCAUCCUUCGGGAAAUACACAGCUACCCUUCACUGGGCCGGCUGUGCUAUCCCGAUCUUUUACUUUGAAAAAAUUAGAGUGUUUAAAGCAGGCUUGCGCUAUGAAUACAUUAGCAUGGAAUAAUAAUUUAGGACUUUGGUCUUAUUUUGUUGGUUUCUAGGACUAAAGUAAUGAUUGAUAGGGACAGUUGGGGGUGCUAGUAUUCAGCGGCCAGAGGUGAAAUUCUUGGAUUCGCUGAAGACUAACUUAUGCGAAAGCAUU
rnacentral:rRNA from 2 species